rnacentral:ncRNA from 2 species
AUAUGAGUGGUUCGCGAAAAUCCCACUUAAAAAAACUAGAAAGAG